GUAAAUUGAAGUACUUUCCCUAAGUCAAUCCUUAUGAAUUUUUGUGUGGAUAUAAAUAGGUUUUAAGGAUUCCAAGAAGGUAAAAAUCUCGUCCAAAGGAGAAGGAGAAGUCGGAUUAUUGCUGUUAGAAGUGAAGAUUUUUGUGCAGGAAAUAGCAAACUAAGGUAAUCUGAGGGAAGAGCGAAUAUGAAGUCAUGUCCCAACUAUCAUAGCAGAUGCAAGCUUGAACAUGAUCACCUUUUGAGAUUUAGUUCUGUUUAUGAAUACUGUUUAAACUUACGAUUAAAAUCUUAUUUUGGGUUUGUAAUAACUAAAUUAAUUUUCAUGUGUGAUGAAUGUUUAAUUUAAGUGUAGCUCGUAGAGUCAAUCCAGCCAUAUUAAUGGGUUGACUCCAGCAGGUGACAGCCUCCGUAACGUUUGAUUA